GGCAGGGACGGUUGGGAGGCGCCGGCGGCGGUUGGGUGCGGAGGCCCCUCGCGCACCGGCCCGGGUGUCCCUGCAGCGGCUGGAAGGACCGGGUGCGAUCGGCGGCGGUUCAGGGCGCGGCUUGUCCGGUUUCUAAGAAGGACCCUGAGGAGGAGGAAAGAAUAGGCGGAUAUUUGGAAAUUGACGUUCAGACUUUGAAGGUGACUUACAUACUUCGCGUUCACUGACGGGAGAACCCUGACAGUGACAGUCUCACUGCAGUGAGGAGCCACAGCC